rnacentral:rRNA from 1 species
UACAGAGGUCUCAAGCGUUGUUCGGAUUCAUUGGGCGUAAAGGGUGCGUAGGUGGCGCCGUAAGUCAGGUGUGAAAUCUCGGGGCUCAACCCCGAAACUGCACUUGAUACUGCGGUGCUGGAGUACUGGAGAGGAGAUUGGAAUUUACGGUGUAGCAGUGAAAUGCGUAGAUAUCGUAAGGAAGACCAGUGGCGAAGGCGAAUCUCUGGACAGUUACUGACACUGAGGCACGAAGGCCAGGGGAGCAAACGGG